CGGGCCAGCCCUGCCCCUCUGCCAGCCCUGGGUUCCCAGCCUCCCCCGCAGCUGGAGUCCUCCCAGCUUCUCUGCAUUUAUCCCAGCCCCAGGGCCCUCCCUGCAGGAAUCAGUAGACUGGUAACCUCAGUUACUGACUUGCAUUGUAUGUAUCAGCGUGUCUCAUUCUCCCAGCAGCCCAGUUUUUCAGAUGAGGAAACUGAGGCUUAGAGAAGAUAAGAAAUUGUCCAAAGUCAGUGUGAACAAGUGGUGAGGGGGGACCUCAGCCUCGGGUCUGUCUCGGGGCUUCUAUGCCAGGUUCCUUGAGCGUUUACCCUCCACCUUCAGGAAUUCUGCCACAUCUAUACCCUACCCAGACUGUUAUCUACAGCAGUGCAUGCUAUAUCCCAAUACAGAAUAAAAAGUUGCAAAAGAAAAAAAAGGUAUCACAAAACUGAAAGCUUAAGCAACACAGAUUUAUUCUCUCACUGUCCUGGAGGCUGGAAGUUCAAGACGCUGGCCAGUUUGGUCUCCCCCAAGGCCGUCUCUCCCUAGGUCAUCACACAGCCUUUGGUCUGUGAGUAUGUGAGUCCCUGGGGUCUCUUUCUCAGUCCAAAUUUCCUCUUCUCAUAAGGAAACCAAUCAGAUGGGACUAGAGCCAACCUGAAAGGCCUCGUUUAAAUUAACCAUCUCUUACACGGCCCUAUCUCAAAAUACAGUCACAUUCUGAGGUGCUGGGGGUUAGGACUUGAGCAUACAUAUAAAUCUGGGAACACGCAAUUUGGCAGUGUCCCAGUAUUUAUGGGACGAAGCAGGCGGGGAGAAACUAGUGCAAGUCACAGAGGGGAAGGGAGCAGGGCAGCCCAAGAACCUACGUAGUCUGAUCCUCCAUUGAAAUAUUUUCCUCUAUGUCGACUGCAUCUAGCAGUGUGGACGGCUGCAGACAUGGCUGGGGUCCCAGGAACCGUCAAAGUCAUCCAUUCACACAGCAUCUUGUUUCCGCAAUCAGGUCCCUCUCCGUUAUAAAUUCUUCUCCGUCCAACAACCAGGCAGAACUUCAUGGCGGACCUGAUCUACCGUCUGGGUGCACGGGCGCUAAGACCUAAAAGGCAGGUGGAGCUUUCCUUUGGAAAGUGGUGAUGGAUACUCAGCUGAAGAAAGACUGUGGGCCUCAUUUAUGAUCAUCAGGAAUUAAAGGACCACCACUUCUGUAUCCAGCUGUUCCACCCCUAGUCUACACAUCCAAGAUGGACAGAACAGGCCGGCAACACCCCAAAGCGUGGGGAGCCAUUGUCCAGGCUCACCACGCCCCCAGGUGUGUUUGAAGCCCCACCACGCACAGGAUCCUGUACCUCCAUCUUCUUCGAGAACUUUCCGUGUCGCUCAAUUUCCGUCCCCCCACUCCCCAGUAGAGUGUGAGCUCCUGGAGGUGGGGGUGCCUGUCCCUUGCUCACCACCCCAUCCUUCUUGCUCAGCUGUGUGUCAGGUGGGCACCGACACAGCUUUGUUGAAUAAACGAGUGAAUGGUUUUUCCACAUCUAAGAGAAGCACUGGGGAAAUAGCAGCGGUGAUAUCUCAAGGGACUGGAGCCACCAUGAGGUAUAAAAUAAGGAGCAGUGACAACAAGAUCCCAUCCUCUGUCUGCUAUGGGGGUCCUCGGCACCUCCUCUUGCGAGCUCGAAAGCCAGGACGACACGCAGAGAGCUCUGGAACCCCGUGGAUGACCGGGAAAUGAAGACACCUCCCCUCUCCCCCUGGCUUGCUUAUCAGACUCCUGCCCAAGGGAUGGGGGCGGUAGUGGGGUGGGGGGGUUACAGGCUGCUUAUUCCAAAACAGCUGAGUUUGCAAAGGGAAGAUUCAGGAUUUGGGGAGAUUUGUGCUAAUCCGUAUGCAGGGACUCUUUAAGAAAAGAGCAUAAGAAUAUCAUCCUUGCACAGGGUUUUUAUUAAACCCUAUGACAGGCGAACUGUUUGCUGGAUUCCUCCCAGGGCUUCAUGAUGGUCCCAGAAAAAUUCCACCCACACCUGCAAGAUAGAGGCCAACCUGGACCCAUUUUUCUCCUGCUGCCCCACCCUCAUGUUCUCUGAGCCAGCCAAGGAACCACACUGUGCUGCUCUGGAGAAGUAACUUAACGUCUCUGUGCCUCUCCUUCCCCAAGCUUAAAACAGAUACAAUGUCAGUGCCUACUUAGCAGUCCUUUUUGAAGCUUCAGGAGAGUUAACCCAAGGAAAGAAUUUCAUCCAGGUCCUGGCACAUGGUGAGGACACGAGGAGGUGUUCAUCUAAAUUGCUGUUUCUUCAGCCCUCCACCCCUCCGGGGUCAAACCCAAAGUCACACCAUCUGUAGCUUAACAUUGGAACUGCAGCAUUAAAGGCCUACCUGGUGAUGGGGAAGGAUUGUGACUAUGGUUUUUUUAAAGGGAUUUUAUCUUUUGGAAGG